UUUUCUGUGUAUAAACAAGUCAAUCCUAACAGCCUAUGUGGGAACAUGGAAAACCCCAAAUCCAACCAUACUGAAUAAACUCAAAAAUUGUCAGCCAAAUUUCCUUUAAAAACUAAAACUUUUGAUGCACCAGAAGCUCUUAUGACACUCAACCACAUUUAACCUUCCAUCAACAAACCCAAGAUUUAAGCAUUUUUCCCCCACUGUUCCUUCCUAUGUCUGAAUAUAGAAAUGCUUAUUAAUUCAUGCAUCAAAAAUGCGCUGUGAGACCUACUAGUGUUGACCUUCCCUAAGAACUCAACACAAGCUAACGAACUCCUCAAAAUGCUCACCUGGAAACAUCUUGUUCAUCUGCCGGUGGCUGAGACCUAUCAACAGAAGACAACUAAACAGAAACCCAAAUCUUAAUCUGUUGAUGAAACUAUAAUGGA